ACUAUGUAGCCAAGGACGACCUUGAACAUGUGAUCCUACUGCCUUCACCUCCCAACUGCUGGGAUUACAGGAACAUGAUGCCAUUCCCAGUGUGUGGAGUGCUUGGGUAGAAUCCAGGGUUCAGUGCAUGCUAGGCAAGCACUCUAUCAACUGAGCUAUGGUCUCAGUUAUUUGAAUUUUUUGACAGAAACAUUAUAAGCUAAAAACAAGGAUUUGUUUAGGGCUAAUAAAUGUUACAAUCUUCCUUUUCCUUCCUUCCUUCCUUCCUUCCUUCCUCCCUCCCUCCCUUCCUUCCUUCCUUCUUUGAGGUAGGCUCUCACUACACAGCUCUGGUUGGCCUUGCACUCACAGAGAUCCACCUGCCCAUGCCUUCUGAUUAAAGUGACUGAGCAGAGCUGUUGUGUUGAAAGCCGUGUGUGAAGACCCGUGAGGUUGAAAGCUCAGCGUGUUUCACCUUGACAGAAAGAAUCUGCUGAAGUCUUGCUCUGGAUGUCCUUUGUCUGUGGGAGACUCAGACAUGUAUGCAGGAUGUAUCCAAUGUCCUCAGAAAAAGCAGGCUUUGGAAGAACAGCCUCUCCACGGGGAGGAAAGCUACUCCAACAGCCAGGAAGCUGGGAAGAUGUCUGCUCAGUCCUGAGCUUCUCCUUGUGCCUGGAAGUGACCGUCAAGGACCCUCUUUCACCUUGACCUGCAGGCUGUGGGUCAAUAGUGCUUCCUACUUGGUCCACAGAUGCGAUUUCCAUCACAUUUCUCCGUGCUUGGGUGCUGAGUGGCAUUUGUACUGGCAGGGGAAGCAACUCCUUUUUUGUUUUCUUCUUGUGGAGACUUCCAAAGACGCAUUUAUGUGCCGAGUUGGUGAUUUGUUCUAUCGAGUAAGUCGUGCAUCUGUAGUAAAAUAAAAUAAAAUAAAAUAAAAAUAAAAAAAAAAACCAAGAAAGACGA